GACUAACUAAUUUCCGUCGUCAAACGAACGAAGACAAAAGCGUGUAAGUGCGCUGUAGGCAUUCCAUGCGGCGGGAAUAUAUAGAGGAAAGAGUGUAGACGACGAUGAAAGUCGAGAAUUAAUGGGCCAAAGUUUGAGCCGCGCUGAUAGCGUGUCGUGACACGCGGUGCCGGGCGGCGCACGCGAUAGCUCGCGCCCCGCGCCUGGCUCCGAUAGGCCGGCCCCAUUGAUUUUCCACUGGAGUUAGUCUACUCGACAGAAGAUCCACGGACGGACAGUGGAAGGGCCAUGGCGAUGCCGCUGAGCUGCUGCCAUCACUACCACGCCAUCAGCGCUUGUGGAUGGCGCGCUGGUUUCCCAUCGCAUUUCACUCGCGGCUGCGGUAGUGGUGUAAGCUCGUCGAUUCUACCGCGUUAUUUCCCUACCCUCGACGAACUUGCGACUAGGCAGCAGCUGCAGCGGCUCAGGCAGCAUUACAGGGGAAAGGCGACCGGCUACUCGGAGUUUGCCGGACUACAGUCGACCGGCGUAACUGAUAGGCCCAGGCGAAUGAAGACGCGAAAGUCAAACGGCACAUACAAAAUGGAAAUGAUAAGAAGAAAGUUUCCGAAUCACACGGAGAUCGCUUACAGAGAAGCGGUCUCGAAGCUCAAGUACCUGCUGACCGAGUCGUACGGGCCGAAAAUAGCUAUCGCCAGACCACUGAGCCUCGGUAAAAGGGCCUUCAAAGAGAACAUCCCUCAGCAUCAGUCAGAAGACUACAAGAACGGAGUCGACGACGGAGACGCUGAGAGUGUCAUAAGCGACGUUUCGAAGAAAGAUCCGUCGACUAGGAGCAAGUAUUACUCGUCCCGAUUGAGCACCUACCCUAUCGCUGACAGCAACGUCGAGAAACUGGCUGUACCUCCAGCUGAAUUAACGUCCUUUAUUCAGCGCCAGGAGGAGUAUAUCGAGCAGCUGGAACGCGAGUCCAGCUACUGCAGAGACAAGCUAUCCGAACUCGUCGAGAACGUCAGAGAGGUAAUCGCCGAGAACAAGGCCUUACACCAAGACAAGAACAAGGCAAGCUUCUUCAAAAACGUCCUCGAGGGUCACGACGACACUUGCGCAAAAGCCGCGGACGAUGUCAGACGCGAGCCAUCAUCCCGUCGUCUACUCGAGGGUCCGAGCAUCGUGUUCGAGUCUCGGAUCAGCGAGCUCGAAGCCCAGCUGACCCAAGCCCGAUUGGAAUUGCGCAAAGCUCGAGACGAGAACCAGGAACACCUCGAGCGCUUGGCAGAGCGAAGUAAGGACGGCGACGCGGCGCAGCUGCAUCUGGAGCUCGAGCGCGCUUUGCGAGAAAAGCGCGAAUUCGAGGCGAGGACGGACGAGCUGCAGCGCGAGCUGGCGAGACAGCGAGCGCGCGACGCCGACGUUGAAGUGAAGAGUAAACGUGCCGUGGAGGUCGCGCAGCAGGUCGAGUACGAGAAGGCGCAGGUCGAAGCCGAGGUGAGGAGGCUCAGGGAAGAGCUGGAGAGAAGACAGGAGAAGCUGAGGGAGGCGCUUCAAGAGACCAACAGGAGGAUCAUCGAGGAGAAACAGCAGGUCGAGAGAAGGUACAGCAAGGAGAUGGAACAGCUGUCCGCGGAGAACGCCUCCAACUGGGAGGCUGCGAGCAAGUCGCAUCUCGAGGCUGAGAAACAGAAGAGAGAGAUCGCCGAGCUGAAGAGGGAACUGCAGCAGAAGCAGAGCUUCAUCGACGAGCUGAAGAAGGAGAUGCAGAACAAGAUCUCCAAGAUGCAGGAAGAACUGAACGAAGCGCUAGCCGAGAAGGACGCCUCGCAGGAGGAGGUGGCCACUGUCAAGCUCGCAUCGGAGAGAAACGAGAGACAAGCUCGCCAGGAGCAGAGCAGGCUCCAAUCCGAGAUCAGCUCGUACAAGAUGCGCCUGGAAAGAGCUGACGCCGACCUGGUGCACGCCAGGCGCGAAAACCUUCGGCUUACCGAAGAAAUAUCUGCCCUGGAAAAAGAGAUCAACAUGAGCAGACUGGUGGAGGAGACACGAGUAGGCUCGCACCCGGUGAAGCCAGACAGACCCAAGGACGACAAGGACAAAGAACUGGCCUCUCUGAUCUUCGAUCUGGAGAACAAGCAGGCUAAAACGGUUGCCAGUCUCGAAGAUUCCCUGAACAAACAGGCCUCGCUCGUCUCGCGCCUUACGGCGGAAUGCCAAUCUCUCACACAGCGCUUGGAAGCUAACGACCAGAAACACAACAGGGGGGGUCGCCGACCAAGAUGAUAACGAUGCGAACAAUGACACGACUGAUGCCUUGCCUUCGCACAAGAAGCGUCGUGUUAAAGUUGAUCUCAAAGUUAAAGUAAUACCGAAAAAGAAGUCGGCUCAAUCGGAAACCCCCUCCAAGGAAAGAAAUGGCCAAUCUACAAAACAACAUAGAGUAUCUAUCGAAUAAAAUUAGGGAUUCCAUCGAACUCAGAGAACAAAACGCAGGAGAACUAGCUGAAACGAUCCUACCUUCCGAACAGACGCCUGAAGACAGCAACGCGCGUACGCACAAAGACUUCAACCCGCAGAUGCGACAAUCGUUUGAAAAAAUAAUCGACGAAGAUAUCUCCAAGAAAAGCAACGAGGAACUCGACGCGUCUUCGAAUUACGCUAACCGAUCCGUGGAAGAACAAAAUUACUCUGAGCAACAUCAGGAAAAUUACGAAUCCGACUAUGCUAAUCAAUUACAAUACAACCAAUAUAAUCAGUAUGAUCCUGCUCAGUAUCCAGAAUACUUCAACGAUCCGUCGUACGCGGAAAAUCAGGAGUAUUCACAAGAUCAGCAGUAUCUACAAAACGAACAGUAUACCAUAGAUAAUAAAGAAAAUUAUAAAGAGGAACCAUACAGCGAACAAGAUUACCAAAAUUAUUCCAGUGCACAAGAAGGAAAAUAAUUUACGUUUGUUUUUUUUACAACUUUAUGCAUAUCUGUUUUUUUCUUUUUGUUGAUUUUUUGAGAAUAACAUUGUUCUGAUUUGUCACGUUUAUUAUAUAAUAAAGAAUAUGAAAUUGAACAAUGCUGUGGCUUUUUCUUGAAUCGGUGCUACUGAUUUAUUCUGAAAUUGCACUUGUAUGCAAGGUGUUCUAAAUCAUAUUUUGGCGCCUUGAUACUAUAUCAGUACAUGCGCAAUGAAUAUAGCCACCAAUAUAGAGCUAUCUUCAGCUAUAUUCAGGUGUUUAGCGUAUACACACAGCAGACACAUCAAACUGCACUACCUUCAAAAAGAGUUUAUGGAAUAUAAACUUUAAAUAAGUACUAUUCAUCAUUUGUUUUUAGUAUAAUUAAGCCACUUGUGAUUAAGAAAUAAAGGAAUAUUACGUAAACGAUCAAAUAUAAGUAUGAACUUGACGAAAUAGUCGAUAAAUUUCUAACCUGUAAAUCAACAGAUACAAGAAA